rnacentral:rRNA from 1 species
AUUGAACGCUGGCGGCAGGCCUAACACAUGCAAGUCGAACGAGUGGCGGACGGGUGAGUAAUGUCUGGGAAACUGCCUGAUGGAGGGGGAUACCUACUGGAAACGGUAGCUAAUACCGCAUACCAUCAGGUGAGCCCAGAGGGGAUUAGCUAGUUGGUGGGGUAACGGCUCACCAGGGCGACGAUCCCUAACUGGUCUGAGAGGAUGACCAGCCACACUGGAACUGAGACACGGUCCAGACUCCUACGGGAGGCAGCAGGGGGUAAUAUUGCACAAUGGGCGCAAGCCUGAUGUAGCCAUGCCGCGUGUAGGAAGAAGGCCUUCGGGUUGUAAAGUACUUUCAGCGGGGAGGCGUUACCCGCAGAAGAAGCACCGGCUAACUCCGUGCCAGCAGCCGCGGUAAUUC